GGGCGUAUAGCUCAGUCUUGGUUAGAGCGCACCCCUGAUAAGGGUGAGGUCGCUGGUUCGAAUCCAGCUACGCCCACCA
rnacentral:tRNA from 1 species